rnacentral:rRNA from 1 species
UGGGGAAUAUUGCACAAUGGGGGAAACCCUGAUGCAGCGACGCCGCGUGAGCGAAGAAGGCUUUCGAGUCGUAAAGCUCUGUCCUACGAGAAGAUAAUGACGGUAUCAAAGCAGGAAGCCCAGGCCAAAUACGUGCCAGCAGCCGCGGUAAUACGUAUGGGGCGGGCGCUCUCCGGAAUUAUUGGGCGUAAAGGGUACGUAGGCGGUUUUUUAAGUCAGGUGUCAAAGCGUGGAGCUUAACUCCAUUAAGCACGUGAAACUGAAAGACUUGAGUGAAGGAGAGGAAAGUGGAAUUCCUAGUGUAGCGGUGAAAUGCGUAGAUAUUAGGAGGAAUACCGGUGGCGAAGGCGACUUUCUGGACUUUUACUGACGCUCAGGUACGAAAGCGUGGGGAGCAAACAGG